UACAGAGGUCCCGAGCGUUGUUCGGAUUCAUUGGGCGUAAAGGGUGCGUAGGUGGCGCCGUAAGUCGGGUGUGAAAAUUUCGGAGCUUAACUCCGAAACUGCAUUCGAUACUGCGGUGCUUGAGGACUGGAGAGGAGACUGGAAUUCAUGGUGUAGCAGUGAAAUGCGUAGAGAUCAUGAGGAAGACCAGUGGCGAAGGCGGGUCUCUGGACAGUUCCUGACACUGAGGCACGAAGGCCAGGGGAGCAAACGGG
rnacentral:rRNA from 1 species